AUGGCAGCCACCACGGGCUCGGGAGUAAAUGUCCCUCCAAUUUCCGACUGUUGGAAGAACUUGAAGAAGGCAGAAAGGAAGGAGAUGGCACAGUUAGCUGGGGUCUAGAAGAUGACGAAGAUGUGACACUGACAAGAUGGACAGGGAUGAAAAUUGGGCCUCCAAGAACAAUGUAUGAAAACCGAAUAUACAGCCUUAAAGUAGAAUGUGGAGCGAAAUACCCAGAAGCACCUCCCUUUGUAAGAUUGUAACAAAAAUAGUUCUAAUGGAGUGGUGGACCCAAGAGCCAUAUCAGUGCUAGCAAAAUGGCAGAAUUCAUAUAGCAUCAAAGUCGUCCUGUGAGAUCCUCGGCACCUAAUGAUAUCUAAAGAAAAUAUGAAACUCCCUGAGCCACCUGAAGGACAGUGUUACAGCAAUUAAUCAAAAGGAAAACCACAGGCCCGUCCCCUCACCCCAUUAGAUUUAAGCACUUCAUUUUCCACAGUAGUAAAUUUUCUAGAUAUGUCUGAUAGACCUCAAAGUACUGGAAAGGAAGCUCAAAGGCAAUUUAUCUUAAGAUACUAUAAAUGAUACUAAUUUUUUUGUCCAUUUGAAAUAUAUAAGUUGUGCUGUAACAAAUCAUCCCAUCACAUGUAACCACUGUCCAGGUAGCUGAACUUCUGAGAUCAAGAAAGUAUAUUUAAAUUGGUUCCCAGCAUAAAUGGUGGGGCACAUCUAACUCAACUGUGAAAAGACACAUCACACACUCACCUUGCUGCUGAUUACGUGGCCUGGGGUCUGUCUUCUCUCUUUCCCUUGCCCCUGUCUCCUCCCCUCCCUACAACAGCCCUCUAGCUUGGGGGCUUGUUAGAGUAGACAUGAAGGUUUCAGGUCACAGCCUGUGGGACUACUGCUGGGUGUGUGGGGUGCUUUGUCUGCACCCCUGAUUUCUUUAAGUCUUAAAUGAUGCCCCUUCCAAGCCAUCAUCCCCUUCCCAUUCUCCUCCACUCCCACCCUUGGCCAAAGCAUAGACUGUAACCCCUCUGCUCCCCUCUGAGAUUGGCCUUCGGUGAGGAAUUCAGGGCUUUCCCCACAUCUUCUCUCCCCCACCUUUAUCGAGGGGUGCUGCUUUCUUCUCCCUCCUCCUCAAGUCCCUCUUUGCACUGUCACCACCCAACACUUUCCAUGACACUUCCUUGCUUUGGCCAAAAGCCAUCAGGUAAGGUUGGAAAGAGUCUCUGACCUCCCUUGUUUAGUUUUGGAAUCGCAUUUAUUCACUCCACCAGCCUGAGAAAAGAAUUGGGUCCUCAGCCCUGCCACCUCUGCUGUCAUCAUCAGCUGAUGCAUUUUUUUAGCUCAGGUUUUGUUAAGGUGAACAGUCACCAGGGUUACUCAGACCUGCCAGCUCUCAGAGUCUUUGGGAACUUGGAGAAAGCCCACAUGAAGACACUUGUAAGCACACACCAUCUCUCUGAAUUGUUUUGUUUUCCUGUAAUUGCUUUUGCUUUUAAAAAUCAAAGA